UUAUGAACUUGACAAUUCUGAUGCUGUCUUUUCUGCUUGUGGUCUCUUUCGCUGAAAGCCGAUUUCUUGAAAAAGGGAUCUUGAAGCCUGCCACCCUGAAAUGUGAUUCAGUGUACGGUGUGAAAACUGGAGACACCUGUUUUGAAAUCGCUGAGGCUUUCAACUUGUCUGCUGAGUUCUUUGAUUUCAUCAAUCCCAAUCUCAAUUGCAAAACCCUCUUCGUAGGCCAAUGGGUUUGUCUUGAUGGAGAAUUAAGUUUUUAAGCUGCUGAUGCUCAUAGUUCUUGAUACUCGAGUAAUUGGAAAGUUACGAAUAAUGAAUAAAGAGAUCAUAAGAACUAAUAAAGUGAUGGAAGUACUCGACAGCCAUUUUCCACUGUUAUGUAUUUGCCUAUUUGGCGUUGGAAUUUAAUAAUUUGACUGUGUUUCUUUA